UAGCUGAGUUGGUAAAGAAUCUGCCUAUAAUGCAGGAGACCCCGGUUCAAUUCCUGG
rnacentral:tRNA from 1 species